rnacentral:rRNA from 1 species
AAGAUGGUUCUGCUAUCACUCUUGGAUGGACCUGCGGUGCAUUAGCUAGUUGGUAAGGUAACGGCUUACCAAGGCAAUGAUGCAUAGCCGAGUUGAGAGACUGAUCGGCCACAUUGGGACUGAGACACGGCCCAAACUCCUACGGGAGGCAGCAGUAGGGAAUCUUCCACAAUGGACGAAAGUCUGAUGGAGCAACGCCGCGUGAGUGAAGAAGGGUUUCGGCUCGUAAAGCUCUGUUGGUAGUGAAGAAAGAUAGAGGUAGUAACUGGCCUUUAUUUGACGGUAAUUACUUAGAAAGUCACGGCUAACUACGUGCCAGCAGCCGCGGUAAUACGUAGGUGGCAAGCGUUGUCCGGAUUUAUUGGGCGUAAAGCGAGUGCAGGCGGUUCAAUAAGUCUGAUGUGAAAGCCUUCGGCUCAACCGGAGAAUUGCAUCAGAAACUGUUGAACUUGAGUGCAGAAGAGGAGAGUGGAACUCCAUGUGUAGCGGUGGAAUGCGUAGAUAUAUGGAAGAACACCAGUGGCGAAGGCGGCUCUCUGGUCUGCAACUGACGCUGAGGCUCGAAAGCAUGGGUAGCGAACAGGAUUAGAUACCCUGGUAGUCCAUGCCGUAAACGAUGAGUGCUAAGUGUUGGGAGGUUUCCGCCUCUCAGUGCU